UACGUAGGUGGCGAGCGUUAUCCGGAAUUACUGGGUGUAAAGGGUGUGUAGGCGGAGAAGCAAGUCAGGCGUGAAAUUUCCGGGCUCAACCCGGAAACUGCGCUUGAAACUGUUUCCCUUGAGAGUGGGAGAGGUAAACGGAAUUCCUGGUGUAGUAGUGAAAUGCGUAGAUAUCAGGAGGAACACCGGUGGCGAAGGCGGUUUACUGGACCACAACUGACGCUGAGACACGAAAGCGUGGGGAGCAAACAGG
rnacentral:rRNA from 1 species